GACGGUGCUGCCCGCCCUGCUCCACGGCGAGGCGGUGACCAUCGACAUGUCCUUCAUGCUGUUCGUGGCCCGGGAGCGCGGCCUGCUCACGGCCCAGCAGCAGCAGCGCGUGCUGGGCUGCAUGCGGGGGCUGGGGCUGCCGGUCCACCACGCGGCCUGCAGCCUGGGCCUGGUCCGCCAGGCGCUGGCGGGGCGGCUGAAGCACUCGGCCGGCUCCCUGAGGAUGCCCCUCCCCACGGGGGCUGGGCAGGGCAGAGAUAUUCCAUGACAUCAGCGAUGAGACCGUGUGUGAGGCCUACAGUAAAUGGAACCAGGAGCUGUCAGCCCCAGAGGACAGCUGACGGCAUGGAGCUGUACUGUCGUCCCUGCAGUGUGGCGCAUCGAAUGGUCUCGCUGAGGCCAGAUCUCACGUGUUCAGUCUGGUGGAGCUUUGAGUGUUUUCUGUUCACUGACGCAUUUCGUAUUGAGUGGUGAUGCUGUAAAGACACUGAGGAACACAUGUGAGGGGGUUUCACGGGAGAAACGAGACCUGAGGGGAGGACUCCAGGGAGAAUUACAAAGAAACAGGAGAAUGUAGAGUGACCGUACAACGCAGAGUUAGCCUGUACAGGGGACUGUGCCUCAGUAUAACAUUGAUCUCCAGAUUUAUUGGUUGUAGGUUUUGGUUGAACUGCCUUUUUUCGCUCUUGAACAGGAAACAAACAAAAGCUGGUGAACAAACAACAACGACCAAGGGGCUGUGAACAUUCAAAUAAAACGUUUUAAUAUUUUUCCACAA